CGUGAUUAAAGAGAGGAGGAAGGAGACCUGUGCGCCGUCGGAGCCAGUGUCACCCAGUCGCCGCCGUUCAUGCGUUGCCGUCGCCGUUCAGGCCACUGCCAAAUCACCGUCGAUGAAGCUUCAGCCACCGCCAUGCCUGGCUGUCACCAGGGUUGCCACCGCCGCGUCUUACUGCCAAAGAGAAGCCUUGCCUACGCUGUUGCCGAACAGGGCCAGAUUUACCGAUUAAUGCUACCGCCGUCAUUGGCUUGCCAUUUCUGCUCGGUUGUGCCCUUAUUCGCCGUUCUGAUUGUUGAAAGGAAAUGUUGUCAAAGCUAUAGCUUCUCCGUUCCCAUUCUCUUGUUUCUUUUCUAAGCUGCUGUGUUUGCGGUUAUUACUUUUGCUUGCCGUUCUUCUCCGUUAGCAGAGGGUGCUUGGAAUACAAAUCAUGAUGUAGUUGCUGCAGAAUAAGGUGAAAAGAGGGUUUAUUGCGUUAAAAUAGCUGCGGGUUUGAUUAUUUGAGGUAGGAUUUUUCUUAAAUCUAUUUUACAUUACAGGGUUGUUAUAAAUCGAUAUUAACGCGUACAUUUUUGUGAUUUCGUGAGUCUUAUGAAUUGAAUUGAGUUAUUUUGGUUGAACGUGAUUAUUAGUUUGAUUGAUAAACUGAUCGAUUGAGAAAGUUGGAUAUUUGGAUUAGUUGAUUGAUGUUGUUAAAGUGGUUUUCCUUGAA